rnacentral:rRNA from 1 species
GACAGAGGGUGCAAACGUUGUUCGGAUUUACUGGGCGUAAAGAGCGUGUAGGCGGCCAGGUAGGUCAGCUGUGAAAACUCGAGGCUCAACCUCGAGACGUCGGUUGAAACCACCUGGCUAGAGUCCGGAAGAGGAGAGUGGAAUUCCUGGUGUAGCGGUGAAAUGCGCAGAUAUCAGGAAGAACACCCGUGGCGAAGGCGAGUUCCUGGACAGUUACUGACACUGAGGCACGAAGGCCAGGGGAGCAAACGGG